GAUGAACGCUGGCGGCGUGCCUAAUACAUGCAAGUCGAGCGAAUGGAUUAAGAGCUUGCUCUUAUGAAGUUAGCGGCGGACGGGUGAGUAACACGUGGGUAACCUGCCCAUAAGACUGGGAUAACUCCGGGAAACCGGGGCUAAUACCGGAUAACAUUUUGAACCGCAUGGUUCGAAAUUGAAAGGCGGCGUCGGCUGUCACUUCUGGAUGGACCCGCGUCGCAUUAGCUAGGUGGUGAGGUAACGGCUCACCAAGGCAACGAUGCGUAGCCGACCUGAGAGGGUGAUCGGCCACACUGGGACUGAGACACGGCCCAGACUCCUACGGGAGGCAGCAGUAGGGAAUCUUCCGCAAUGGACGAAAGUCUGACGGAGCAACGCCGCGUGAGUGAUGAAGGCUUUCGGGUCGUAAAACUCUGUUGUUAGGGAAGAACAAGUGCUAGUUGAAUAAGCUGACACCUUGACGGUACCUAACCAGAAAGCCACGGCUAACUACGUGCCAGCCGCCGCGGUAA
rnacentral:rRNA from 1 species